UCUUGUGAUGAUAUUACCAACGAUGCGACUAGACCUUCAAGUCGAUGCUGUCGCUUUCACUUUAACCAUCUUUCGGGUCUGAAAGUU
rnacentral:snoRNA from 1 species